GACGAACGCUGGCGGCGUGCUUAACACAUGCAAGUCGAACGGUAAGGCCCUUCGGGGUACACGAGUGGCGAACGGGUGAGUAACACGUGGGUGAUCUGCCCUGCACUUCGGGAUAAGCCUGGGAAACUGGGUCUAAUACCGGAUAGGACCACUGCCUGCAUGGGUGGUGGUGGAAAGCUUUUGCGGUGUGGGAUGGGCCCGCGUCCUAUCAGCUUGUUGGGGGGGUGAUGGCCUACCCAGGCGACGACGGGUAGCCGGCCGGAGAGGGUGACCGGCCACACUGGGACUGAGAUACGGCCCAGACUCCUACGGGAGGCAGCAGUGGGGAAUAUUGCUCAAUGGGCGCAAGCCUGAUGCAGCGACGCCGCGUGAGGGAUGACGGCCCUCGGGUUGUAAACCUCUUUCAGCACCGACGAAGCGCAAGUGACGGUAGGUGCAGAAGAAGGACCGGCCAACUACGUGCCAGCAGCCGCGGUAA
rnacentral:rRNA from 1 species